AGUGAACGCUGGCGGUAGGCCUAACACAUGCAAGUCGAACGGCAGCACAGUAAGAGCUUGCUCUUACGGGUGGCGAGUGGCGGACGGGUGAGGAAUACAUCGGAAUCUACUUUUUCGUGGGGGAUAACGUAGGUAAACUUACGCUAAUACCGCAUACGACCUACGGGUGAAAGCAGUGGAUCUUCUGACCUUGCGCGAUUGAAUGAGCCGAUGUCGGAUUAGCUAGUUGGCGGGGUAAAGGCCCACCAAGGCGACGAUCCGUAGCUGGUCUGAGAGGAUGAUCAGCCACACUGGAAGUGAGACACGGUCCAGAGUCCUAGGGGAGGGAGCAGUGGGGAAUAUUGGACAAUGGGGGGAAGCCUGGUCCAGCCAUACCAGGUGGGUGAAGAAGGCCUUCGGGUUGUAAAGACCUUUUGUUGGGAAAGAAAAGCAGCAGGUUAAUACCCAGCUGUUCUGACGGUACCCAAAGAAUAAGCACCGGCUAACUUCGUG
rnacentral:rRNA from 1 species